UUUACUCCAUGUAACCUUGCUAUUCACCCACUCUUUAGCCCAUGGAACAGGGAGAGAAACUUGUAUGUUAAUGCUAGUGGUUGAGGAAGUUGAGUUAGGAGGCAGAGGUGGGAAGGUUGUACUCAUGCUUGAUGUUUGCUGUUUCCGGCAGAUUAUAAUUAGACUGUGGAACAAGUCUGCAUUCACGACUCACAAAGAGGACAUCAGCACAUGAAGCUGUCAUCAUGAACAGGGUCUCCAGUAACACAGAGGGCUCUGACCACCAAGGAACCACACCAACUUUGGAGUCUCCUAGCAAACUACAAGAGGCAAAACCAUUAGUGAGUGGCAUGAAACAUUAUGUGGAGACUCUUUGCUAUCAGCACCCAGAACGUGCUUGAUACCCCUGGUGUCAGCUUGAGACAAUUCAGGCAAACCAGUCUUGACUGACAUCACUUUUUCCUGGUUACUUUCUAAGCCCUUCAUUCUGAUUAAAUUGCAGGGGUCAGUUUUCUGCCACCCAACCCCAUGCUUUGCCUGUAAGUCCCCAGUAAAAUGCCCAUUGUAUUGUUCUAGA